rnacentral:rRNA from 1 species
AGCUUGCUACCUGACCUAGCGGCGGACGGGUGAGUAAUGCUUAGGAAUCUGCCUAUUAGUGGGGGACAACAUUCCGAAAGGAAUGCUAAUACCGCAUACGCCCUACGGGGGAAAGCAGGGGAUCUUCGGACCUUGCGCUAAUAGAUGAGCCUAAGUCAGAUUAGCUAGUUGGUGGGGUAAAGGCCUACCAAGGCGACGAUCUGUAGCGGGUCUGAGAGGAUGAUCCGCCACACUGGGACUGAGACACGGCCCAGACUCCUACGUGAGGCAGCAGUGGGGAAUAUUGGACAAUGGGCGAAAGCCUGAUCCAGCCAUGCCGCGUGUGUGAAGAAGGCCUUUUGGUUGUAAAGCACUUUAAGCGAGGAGGAGGCUACUUGGAUUAAUACUCUAGGAUAGUGGACGUUACUCGCAGAAUAAGCACCGGCUAACUCUGUGCCAGCAGCCGCGGUAAUACAGAGGGUGCGAGCGUUAAUCGGAUUUACUGGGCGUAAAGCGUGCGUAGGCGGCUUUUUAAGUCGGAUGUGAAAUCCCUGAGCUUAACUUAGGAAUUGCAUUCGAUACUGGGAAGCUAGAGUAUGGGAGAGGAUGGUAGAAUUCCAGGUGUAGCGGUGAAAUGCGUAGAGAUCUGGAGGAAUACCGAUGGCGAAGGCAGCCAUCUGGCCUAAUACUGACGCUGAGGUACGAAAGCAUGGGGAGCAAACAGGAUUAGAUACCCUGGUAGUCCAUGCCGUAAACGAUGUCUACUAGCCGUUGGGGCCUUUGAGGCUUUAGUGGCGCAGCUAACGCGAUAAGUAGACCGCCUGGGGAGUACGGUCGCAAGACUAAAACUCAAAUGAAUUGACGGGGGCCCGCACAAGCGGUGGAGCAUGUGGUUUAAUUCGAUGCAACGCGAAGAACCUUACCUGGUCUUGACAUAGUAAGAACUUUCCAGAGAUGGAUUGGUGCCUUCGGGAACUUACAUACAGGUGCUGCAUGGCUGUCGUCAGCUCGUGUCGUGAGAUGUUGGGUUAAGUCCCGCAACGAGCGCAACCCUUUUCCUUAUUUGCCAGCGGGUUAAGCCGGGAACUUUAAGGAUACUGCCGGUGACAAACUGGAGGAAGGCGGGGACGACGUCAAGUCAUCAUGGCCCUUACGACCAGGGCUACACACGUGCUACAAUGGUCGGUACAAAGGGUUGCUACCUAGCGAUAGGAUGCUAAUCUCAAAAAGCCGAUCGUAGUCCGGAUUGGAGUCUGCAACUCGACUCCAUGAAGUCG